CAGCACCUCAGGUGGUCAGGAUGAUUAUUGGGCCUAAAGCAUCCGUAGCCGGCUCUGUAAGUUUUCGGUUAAAUCUGUACGCUCAACGUACAGGCUGCCGGGAAUACUGCAGAGCUAGGGAGUGGGAGAGGUAGACGGUACUCGGUAGGAAGGGGUAAAAUCCUUUGAUCUAUUGAUGACCACCUGUGGCGAAGGCGGUCUACCAGAACACGUCCGACGGUGAGGGAUGAAAGCUGGGGGAGCAAACCGGAUUAGAUACCCGAGUAGUCC
rnacentral:rRNA from 1 species